UACGAGGGGGGCAAAUGUUGUUCGGAAUCACUGGGCGUAAAGGGAGCGUAGGCGGGUGUUUAAGUUAGGUGUUUAAUCCUGGGGCCCAACCCCAGUCGUGCACCUAAAACUGGACAUCUUGAAUAGUGGAGAGGUCAGUGGAAUUGGGGGUGUAGCGGUGGAAUGCGUAGAGAUCCCCUAGAACACCAGUUGCGAAGGCGGCUGACUGGACACAUAUUGACGCUGAGGCUCGAAAGCAUGGGGAGCAAACAGG
rnacentral:rRNA from 1 species